GUGAGGAAUCCCAGUACUGGUAUUGUGAGAAGGUCGUGGUCAGAGAACCUGGCACUGCAACUGAGUCCGUCUUCACCUGUGAAAGAUGGCUUCCCUUUAUGUCUCAGGGCAUAAUUCAUUCAGAAAUGGAACUUUAUCUUCAAGAAAUGCAAAUAAAUCAUCAACCUAAAA